AGUGAACGCUGGCGGUAGGCCUAACACAUGCAAGUCGAACGGCAGCACAGUAAGAGCUUGCUCUUACGGGUGGCGAGUGGCGGACGGGUGAGGAAUACAUCGGAAUCUACUUUUUCGUGGGGGAUAACGUAGGGAAACUUACGCUAAUACCGCAUACGACCUACGGGUGAAAGCAGGGGAGCUUCGGACCUUGCGCGAUUGAAUGAGCCGAUGUCGGAUUAGCUAGUUGGCGGGGUAAAGGCCCACCAAGGCGACGAUCCGUAGCUGGUCUGAGAGGAUGAUCAGGCACACUGGCACUGAGACACGGUCCAGACUCCUACGGGAGGCAGCAGUGGGGAAUAUUGGACAAUGGGCGCAAGCCUGAUCCAGCCAUACCGCGUGGGUGAAGAAGGCCUUCGGGUUGUAAAGCCCUUUUGUUGGGAAAGAAAAGCAGCAGGUUAAUACCCCGCUGUUCUGACGGUACCCAAAGAAUAAGCACCGGCUAACUUCGUG
rnacentral:rRNA from 1 species